rnacentral:rRNA from 1 species
GUGGGGAAUAUUGGACAAUGGACGAAAGUCUGAUCCAGCGACGCCGCGUGGAGGAAGAAGUCCUUCGGGAUGUAAACUCAUGAAGCUAACGAAUAAGACGGAAGGGGAACCUUCCGGGAGAAGGUAAUUAGUGAAAAGCCCCGGCUAACUACGUGCCAGCAGCCGCGGUAAUACGUAGGGGGCGAGCGUUGCCCGGAAUUACUGGGCGUAAAGGGAACGUAGGUGGCUCUUAAAGUCAGGUGUGAAAAUAACGAAGCUUAACAGGUUAAUGCGCUUGAAACUAAAGGGCUUGAGGGCAAUAGAGGGAGAUGGAAUUACCUGUGUAGGGGUGAAAUCCGCAGAUAUAGGUAAGAAGGCCGGUGGGGAAGCCGAUCUCCUGGGUUGACUCUGACACUGAGGUUCGAAAGCUAGGGGAGCAAACCGGAUUAGAUACCCCUGUAGUCC